ACAGCAGCAGCCCGGUAAUACGUAGGGUGCAAGCGUUAAUCGGAAUUACUGGGCGUAAAGCGCACGCAGGCGGAUUGUUAAGUCAGAUGUGAAAUCCCCGAGCUUAACUUGGGAACUGCAUUUGAAACUGGCAAGCUAGAGUCUUGUAGAGGGGGGUAGAAUUCCAGGUGUAGCGGUGAAAUGCGUAGAGAUCUGGAGGAAUACCGGUGGCGAAGGCGGCCCCCUGGACAAAGACUGGCGCUCAGGUGCGAAAGCGUGGGGAGCAAACAGGAUUAGAUACCCGCGUAGUCCCUGUCUCUUAUACA
rnacentral:rRNA from 1 species